CUCCUCCAGCCCCCAGCCUCCAGCCUCGGUUUUCUUCUUCUUCAGAUGAAGAAUGGAAAGGAGUUUCUUUUAACUGACGCUGUUGGCUUCAUCCAGAAGUUACCAACAACACUCAUAUGAACAUUUCUCCUAUGUCAUGGUAGCUGCUUGUAGGGCAACUCUGGAAGAGAUAUAUGAGUGAUCACUUCUAGUACAUGUGCCAUCCACUGGCAGAGCAACAGAUUGACGCUGUGGAAAAAGUUCUUGCAGAACUUGAUACAUCAUCAAUCCACCUAAAUUAAUUAUGUGGAACAAGGUCGCUAAUGCAAAGGAUCCGGAAAAGAUCAAGUCUGAAGCUAAGAAAAAAAGUGGAUGCCAUAUGCAUCUCUGCUUUAACUGGUGAAGGGUUAGAUGAUUUCUCUGUAAUGCAGUUCAGGAAGAACUAAAGGAAUACAUCAAAGAAUGGAGCUUUGGUUAGAGCUCAUGUUCCACUCCGCUUUGCAAGGCUUCUCACUCCAAUGAGACAAACUUGAGUGUCAUAGCUUUUUUCAGGGCUUCUUCCAAAAAGGUUUGAGCGUUUGAAGAAGGCACGAUUUUUGCUGGCCUUGCUGUGAUUGAUGCUUACAGCUACAGAGACAAGUGGCCAUGAAUGACUUUGGUGCCGAAACUUUUUGGCUCCACUUGUUAACAUAUGGAGCUAUAUGAGCAAGAUGCUGUUGUUGUCAAUUACACAAUCCAGAGUAAAACUGCUGCUUUAAGCUUUCAUGUCAACUCGGGUUCAAGUACCUCGGAGUAGGAGCCCUCUUGCACCAACAGCCAUUUAUGUAAAAAGUCUAUUGUAAAUAAGAAUUAAGUGUGUUCAGUAGUACUUUUGCCUUCUUUGUAGUAUGUGGAAAAUUGUUGCUUUGCCCAACAAGGUCCGGCUUAUUCUUAGCCAGAGAAAUAAAAGUUUUGAUUCAAAACCAAUUUCUAGUUGUAUAAUUAUUAUUUGAUUAGCUUCCAAAACACAUCAAAAUCAGCUCAACUCAACAAUAUACGCAAAUUUUGGUACAUCACUGAAACUCAAAUUCACUGUUUUAAAAAAUAUUUUUGUUCUGUACUUCUACCACUACUCUGCUUACAAUUGGAACAUCUUUGAACUCUUCACCAUACGA